rnacentral:rRNA from 1 species
GGAAUUGUACGCAAUGGGCGCAAGCCUGACGACGCAACGCCGCGUGCAGGAUGAAGGCCUUAGGGUCGUAAACUGCUUUUGUCUGUGACGAAUAUGACGGUAACAGACGAAUAAGGGUCGGCUAACUACGUGCCAGCAGCCGCGGUCAUACGUAGGACCCAAGCGUUAUCCGGAUUUACUGGGCGUAAAGAGUUGCGUAGGUGGCAAAGUAAGUUGGUAGUGAAAGCGUCUCGCUCAACGAGAUAUCCAUUAUCAAAACUGCUUAGCUUGAGAAUGAGAGAGGUUAUUGGAAUUCCAAGUGUAGGAGUGAAAUCCGUAGAUAUUUGGAGGAACACCGAUGGCGUAGGCAGAUAACUGGCUCAUUUCUGACACUAAGGCACGAAAGCGUGGGGAGCGA